AGAGAGAGACAUGCGCGCAUAUCAAUAAGCGGAGGAAAAGAAACUAACUAGGAUUCCCCUAGUAACUGGCGAGUGAAGCGGGAAGAGCUCAAAUUUGAAAUCUUAAAGGUUUUCCCUUGACGAAUUGUAGUUUAAAGAAGUGUUUUCUGUUGAGGUUUUGGUAAAAGUUCUUUGGAAUAGGACAUCAUAGAGGGUGAGAAUCCCGUAUUUGACCAUUAUUUCCAGCUUUGUCGAUACACUUUCAAAGAGUCGGAUUGUUUGGGAAUGCAGUCCAAAAUGGGUGGUAAAUUUCAUCUAAAGCUAAAUAUUGGCGAGAGACCGAUAGCGAACAAGUACCGUGAGGGAAAGAUGAAAAGAACUUUGAAAAGAGAGUUAAACAGUACGUGAAAUUGUCAAAAGGGAAGCGUUUGACACCAGUGUUGUUUUCUCGAAAAUCAAUUAAAAAGAGCUAGAUUUUGUGUUGUAUUGACUUUAAUCAGCUUCUGCAUCUCAAUUUUCUUGUCUUUUUUAAUGCACUUUUCGUUUAACAAGUCAACAUCAGUUUCUUUUGUUGUAAAAGGGUCAUUGGAAGGUGGCUUUCUUUUCGGAGAAAGUGUUUAUAGCCUUUGGCCUCUGCAAUCGGAGAGAUUGAGGUCUGCAGCGUAGAUCCUUCGGGGUUAGAUACAUUUGUGCUAAGUUAUAGCCUUUCAUAGACAACUUGUUGACUAUGAUCAGUCAUAUAGCUUACUCGCUUAUGCUAUUUUACCUACGCUUAGGAUGUUGAUGUGAUACUGCGAGCA
rnacentral:rRNA from 1 species